AUCUUUGCGCAUGGGCAUUAUCGUAACCAAUGAGGUUCAACCGAGGUGCGAUUAUUGCUAGUUGAAAACUUUACCAAUACCCCGCCAAGACGAUGUGAAAAACCAUCGGCUAAGGCAAUUUUUGAAGGCCUCUACGGGGG
rnacentral:snRNA from 1 species